UUUUGCAUUUCAGAGUAACUUUCAUAAUGAUGUACCUUAUUUAAUGAUUGUUUUAAUAAGUAAACAUAAACUUGAUUUUUGAUGCAUAUAAAUAUAUACACUGGCGAUCAAAAGUAAGUGCAUGUUGAUUUUCGUUAAA